GAAAUGCGAUAAGUAGUGUGAAUUGCAGAAUUCAGUGAAUCAUCGAAUCUUUGAACGCACAUUGCGCCCCUCGGUAUUCCGUGGGGCAUGCCUGUUCGAGCGUCAUCUACACCCUCAAGCUCUGCUUGGUGUUGGGCGUCUGUCCCGCCUCCGCGCGCGGACUCGCCCCAAAUGCAUUGGCAGCGGUUCCUUGCCCCCCUCUUUGCGCAGCACAUUGCCAUUCGAGGCGGCGGCGGCCCGCGUCCAACAAGCUCAACCCCCCCGUCUUUGACCUCGGAUCAGGCAGGGAUACCCGCUGAACUUAAGC
rnacentral:misc_RNA from 1 species